rnacentral:rRNA from 1 species
UACCUGGUUGAUUCUUCCAGUAGUCAUAUGCUUGUCUCAAAGAUUAAGCCAUGCAUGUCUAAGUACAAGCCUCAGCAAGGUGAAACCGCGAAUGGCUCAUUAAAUCACACCUAAUGUACUGGACAGUUUCAGUUACUUGGAUAACUGCGGUAAUUCUGGAGCUAAUACAUGCGUACAAGCCCUGACUCACGGAGGGGUGCUUUUAUUAGACUAAAACCAAACGGCUUCGGCCGUUCCACUGGCGAAUCUGAAUAACUUUGAGCGGAUCGCACGGCCUUGUGCCGGCGACGUGUCCUUCCAAGGUGUGCCCUAUCAGCUGUCGACUGUGGCAUAGACGCCCACAGUGGUUUUGACGGGUAACGGGGAAUUAGGGUUCGAUUCCGGAGAGGGAGCCUGAGAAACGGCUACCACUUCUAAGGAAGGCAGCAGGCACGCAAAUUACCCACUGGCCGAAGGCCGAGGUAGUGACGAAAAAUAACGAUACCAGACUCAUCCGAGGCCUGGUAAUCGGAAUGAGCACACUUUAAAUCCUUUAGCGAGGAACCAUUGGAGGGCAAGUCUGGUGCCAGCAGCCGCGGUAAUUCCAGCUCCAAUAGCGUAUAUUAAAGUUGUUGCGGUUAAAAAGCUCGUAGUUUGAUUUCGGCGAGCAGGGGGCGGUUCGUUAUUUGACGUAACUGCCCCAUUUGCUCGUGUUUCUUCGGCAGAACUCCCGGGGUGCUCUUCGCCGAGUGUCCCGUUGGGGGCUGCCAGGUUUACUUUGAAAAAUUUAGAGUGCUCCAAGCAGGCUCGACACGCCUGAAAUAUUUGUGCAUGGAAUAAUGGAAUAGGACGUCGUUCCUAUUUUGUUGGUUUUAGGGAAUCGACGUAAUGAUUAAUAGGGACAGCCGGGGGCAUUAGUAUUCAGACGACAGAGGUGAAAUUCUUGGGACCGUCUGGGCGACUCACUGCUGCGAAAGCGUUUGCCAAGUAUGUUUUCAUUAAUCAAGAACGAAAGUUAGAGGUUCGAAGGCGAUCAGAUACCGCCCUAGUUCUAACCAUAAACGAUGCCAGCUAGCGAUCCGCAGAUGUUUUUAUUGUAGGCUCUGCGGGAAGCUUCCGGGAAACCAAAGCUUUUGGGUUCCGGGGGAAGUAUGGUUGCAAAGCUUGAAACUUAAAGAAAUUGACGGAAGGGCACCACCAGGCGUGGAACUUGCGGCUUAAUUUGACUCAACACUGGAAAUCUCACCAGGCCCGGACACCGGAAGGAUUGACAGAUUGAGAGCUCUUUCUCGAUUCGGUGGGUGGUGGUGCAUGGCCGUUCUUAGUUGGUGGAGUGAUUUGUCUGGUUAAUUCCGAUAACGAACGAGACUCCGUCCUGCUAAAUAGUUGUAACGUCACACGUGCGUUGCAAAUUCUUCUUAGAGGGACUGGCGGCAUCUAGCCGCACGAGAUGGAGCAAUAACAGGUCUGUGAUUGCCCUUAGAUGUUCUGGGCCGCACGCGUGUUACACUGAAGGGAUCAACGUGUCUUCCCUGACCGAGAGGUCCGGGUAACCCGCUGAACCCCCUUCGUGGUAGGGAUCGGAGCUUGCAAUUAUUCUUCCGUGAACCAGGAAUGCCCAGUAAGUGCAAGUCAUAAGCUUGCAUUGAUUACGUCCCUGCCCUUUGUACACACCGCCCGUCGCUACUACCGAUUGAACGUUUUAGUGAGGUAUUUGGACCGGGCCUCUGGUGGCUCACGCCUCCAGUGCUGCUCGGGAAGACUCCCAAACUUGAGCGUUUAGAGGAAGUAAAAGUCGUAACAAGGUUACCGUAGGUGAACCUGCGGUAGGAUCAUUA